rnacentral:rRNA from 1 species
GUAGGUGGCAAGCGUUGUCCGGAAUUAUUGGGCGUAAAGCGCGCGCAGGCGGUCCUUUAAGUCUGAUGUGAAAGCCCACGGCUCAACCGUGGAGGGUCAUUGGAAACUGGGGGACUUGAGUACAGAAGAGAAAAGCGGAAUUCCAAGUGUAGCGGUGAAAUGCGUAGAGAUUUGGAGGAACACCAGUGGCGAAGGCGGCUUUCUGGUCUGUAACUGACGCUGAGGCGCGAAAGCGUGGGGAGCAAACAGGAUUAGAUACCCUGGUAGUCCACGCCGUAAACGAUGAGUGCUAAGUGUUAGGGGGUUUCCCGCCCCCCUUAGUGCUGCAGCUGACGCAUUAAGCACUCCGCCUGGGGAAUACGGCCGCAAGGCUG